rnacentral:lncRNA from 1 species
AAAAAGGAGAAGCUGCAUUAAGAAAACAAAGGUAAAAUUAGAAACACAAGCAAGACAAAACAAAAUAAUAAAGCAUAAGUACUCCCGCAAAAUAACGUAAAUAAUUAUGAAAGCAUAAGCAACAUAAAUACAGUCGUAUGCAAUACUAACAAGCAGCAACUACCAUACUAAAACACUAAUCACCUAUGAGCCCCUAGCCUACAAUCCUGAUCCUAGACCUCCAGACUCCCUAUCAAGGAUCAUGUCCUCGGUAACCUGCAUACUGGUCAUGUCCUGCCUAAUCACCUCUCCCCAAUGCUUCUUAGGUCUCCCUCUCCCUCGCCGACCACCAACAAUCUCCAGCCGCUCNN